CUGCAAAGAAAAAUCAUCACCAUCGCUAAUAUAAUCACUCAGCGAGAUCACGUCAAAAUGUCGAAGUUUACCGGAGAGCGAGAUGGCUGGAAAGUCAAAUUCCCUGCAGGGCUGGCAGCACUGACCUCUGUGUCUGUGAAAUCCGGGGAUGGCCGAUAAUGUGCUGCGAUGCCAUUGCUUUCUGCGCUGCAAGGCCUUACGGAGAACACUGCAACGUCUCAGCUGCCAGCCCUGCAGCUCUUUGCAAUGUGUCAGUAGGUGACGCUGCAACAGAAGACGAGGCCCAGCAGAACAUUUCAAGGGGGAAUAGAGCGGGUAGUUCAGCCAACCAACCAGAAGCAGGGGUCUGCUCACCUCUUCCUGACUCCAGCCAAAGAACAGCGAUGGAGCUGGGGUUAUGAAUUGCUUG